rnacentral:rRNA from 1 species
UGUGUAGGUUGUAUAUUAAGUCUGUUGUUAAAUCUUUCGGCUUAACCGAAAAAAUCGCGAUGGAAACUGGUAUGCUAGAGGGUGAGAGAGAGGAGUGGAAUUCUCGGAGUAGCGGUAAAAUGCGUAGAUAUCGAGAGGAGCACCGAUGGCGAAAGCAGCUCCUUGGCUCAUUUCUGACAUUGAAACACGAAAGCGUGGGAGCAAACA